GUGGAUUAGAUACCCUGGUAGUCCACGCUGUAAACGAUGAAUACUAGGUGUGGGAGGACUGACCCCUUCCGUGCCGCAGUUAACACAAUAAGUAUUCCACCUGGGGAGUACGACCGCAAGGUUGAAACUCAAAGGAAUUGACGGGGGCCCGCACAAGCAGUGGAUUAUGUGGUUUAAUUCGACGCAACGCGAAGAACCUUACCAGGGUUUGACAUCCAACUAACGAAGUAGAGAUACAUUAGGUGCCCUUCGGGGAAAGUUGAGACAGGUGGUGCACGGUCGUCGUCAGCU
rnacentral:rRNA from 1 species